AACUGCGCCGCCUCCUUGGCUAUCGCCGCCACGGCGCCGCCGUCCUCUCCCCCAUCAUCGUCAUCGUCGUCGUCUUCGUCGUCGUCUUCAUCGUCGGCGCCGCCGCUCCGUGCGUGAGCCAACACUGGGCGGUGCUAAGUCACGAGGCCAGGGGGCCGCUCACACCGAGUUCCAACUGUACACAAUGGUUGGACUCGUCCCCCCCUCAUCACUCGGACCGAAUCCACAGUCCGAAUGGUCCCCAGCGACCCGUGCUGGCUACGAGAACUUUGCAGAAAGCCACCCCCUCGCUCGUCUGGUUGUCGAUGGCCCAAGGGUGGCAGAAGAGCAGCGGGACACAGAGAAAGCUUGUGGGACAAGGGGCC